rnacentral:snRNA from 1 species
GUGCUCGCUUCGGCAGCACAUAUACUAAAAUUGGAAUGAUACAGAGAAGAUUAACAUGGCCCCUGCACAAGGAUGACACGCAAAUUUGUGAAGUGUUCAUGUUUUAA